UGUGACUAGAUCUGGAGCAAGAUCUUGUCUGGCAUGGCAAUCCCAACCGUGCCUGCAUUAAGGGACCAAGCUACCCCCGGAAGUCCAAGGGCAACUACAGCAGCAAAGCCGGAGUGCUGCUACCUAUGAUGACUACGUGAGAAGCAAAACUUCUAAGGAAGUGGGUUUCCUAAAUGUUGUUCCCUUUACUCCCAGAUAACAUGGAUACUCUAGUAUAAAAUAGUUUCCUAUUCCCUUAAUAAAAUUCCAUUAAAAUCCCCUUCAACUCCUA